UUCUGAUUGAGGAAAUUAAGCAUGAUAAUUGAUAGGCCAUCUGCCGUGUUGUGUUUUUCUGCUAUUCAAACCCCAAUAUUCAAAGCUCAAGAAACGAUCUAUCGGUCUUGUUGAAGUUGAUUCUUGUUACAAAUCUGUGGUUUGUCACAGUGACAAAUGCUGUUAAUGCCUUAGGAGGACUUGUACCUAUGCUUACAUCCUUCUAUAUUAAGCUGCACUUUUUGGUGCCCAGCACUCAUUGCUUGUCAUGAUGCUGCUGCUGACAUGCAAUUGUAUGCUGCUUGUCGAUCCAGAUGCUAUGGCUGUAGCGACAGUUGGAGAUCUUAGUCCUCAUCCUGUUGUUGCAGCCUCCUGAACCGGCUCUUCCGGCCCCUGAAAUUGCUGAUUCAUUGCUUGCCUUCCUAUUGGUGCAGCAGUUCGUGCACGCCUUGUGUAUAUAAACUGUUGCUGUGGGACUGGAUGACCAAUUACAGGGGUCGGU